AUACGUAGGGGGCGAGCGUUGUCCGGAAUGAUUGGGCGUAAAGGGCGCGUAGGCGGCCCGGUAAGUCUGGAGUGAAAGUCCUGUUUUUAAGAUGGGAAUUGCUUUGGAUACUGUCGGGCUUGAGUGCAGGAGAGGUAAGUGGAAUUCCCAGUGUAGCGGUGAAAUGCGUAGAGAUUGGGAGGAACACCAGUGGCGAAGGCGGGUAACUGGACUGCAACUGACGCUGAGGCGCGAAAGUGUGGGGAGCAAACAGGAUUAGAUACCCUGGUAGUCCACACUGUAAACGAUGAAUGCUAGGUGUAAGAGGUAUCGACCCCUUUUGUGCCGGAGUCAACACAAUAAGCAUCCCGCCUGGGGAGUACGGCCGCAAGGUUGAAACUCAAAUGAAUUGACGGGG
rnacentral:rRNA from 1 species